AGUCUUAUAUUCAAUAAUGAUAUUAAAUUGCAAAUUUAAAGGUAAAAAAUUUUUUAAGGCUU
rnacentral:tRNA from 1 species